UACGUAGGGUCCGAGCGUUGUCCGGAUUUAUUGGGCGUAAAGAGCUCGUAGGCGGCUCAGUAAGUCGGAUGUGAAAACUCGGGGCUCAACCCCGAGACGCCAUCCGAUACUGCUGUGGCUUGAGUCUGGUAGGGGAACACGGAAUUCCUGGUGUAGCGGUGAAAUGCGCAGAUAUCAGGAAGAACACCUAUGGCGAAGGCAGCACUCUGGGACGGUACUGACGCUGAGACGCGAAAGCGUGGGGAGCGAACAGG
rnacentral:rRNA from 1 species